rnacentral:rRNA from 1 species
GAUGAACGCUGGCGGCGUGCCUAAUACAUGCAAGUCGAACGCAUAGCGAAAGGUGCUUGCACCUUUCAAGUGAGUGGCGAACGGGUGAGUAACACUUGGACAACCUGCCUCAAGGCUGGGGAUAACAUUUGGAAACAGAUGCUAAUACCGAAUAAAACUUAGUGUCGCAUGACACAAAGUUAAAAGGCGCUUCGGCGUCACCUAGAGAUGGAUCCGCGGUGCAUUAGUUAGUUGGUGGGGUAAAGGCCUACCAAGACAAUGAUGCAUAGCCGAGUUGAGAGACUGAUCGGCCACAUUGGGACUGAGACACGGCCCAAACUCCUACGGGAGGCUGCAGUAGGGAAUCUUCCACAAUGGGCGAAAGCCUGAUGGAGCAACGCCGCGUGUGUGAUGAAGGCUUUCGGGUCGUAAAGCACUGUUGUAUGGGAAGAACAGCUAGAAUAGGAAAUGAUUUUAGUUUGACGGUACCAUACCAGAAAGGGACGGCUAAAUACGUG